rnacentral:rRNA from 1 species
AUUGAACGCUGGCGGCAUGCCUUACACAUGCAAGUCGAACGGUAACAGGUCUUCGGAUGCUGACGAGUGGCGAACGGGUGAGUAAUACAUCGGAACGUGCCUAGUAGUGGGGGAUAACUACUCGAAAGAGUGGCUAAUACCGCAUGAGGUCUACGGAUGAAAACAGGGGAUCGCAAGACCUUGUGCUACUAGAGCGGCCGAUGGCAGAUUAGGGAGUUGGUGGGAUAAAAGCUUACCAAGCCGACGAUCUGUAGCUGGUCUGAGAGGACGAUCAGCCACACUGGGACUGAGACACGGCCCAGACUCCUACGGGAGGCAGCAGUGGGGAAUUUUGGACAAUGGGCGAAAGCCUGAUCCAGCAAUGCCGCGUGCAGGAUGAAGGCCUUCGGGUUGUAAACUGCUUUUGUACGGAACGAAAAGCCCCGGGUUAAUACCCUGGGGUCAUGACGGUACCGUAAGAAUAAGCACCGGCUAACUACGUGCCAGCAGCCGCAGUAA